AGAUUUGAUGCCCUAACUUCAUCUUCUCCAUCGCACAACUACUGUUCCUCUUCUUCUCGAAUUGAAGCUCGCUGCUCAGCUGUUCUUACUCGAAUUGAAGCUCGCUUCUCAGCCUGCUCCCUCGACUUUGAUGCCCACGCUGCUACUGUACCUCUACGACUCUUCUUCUUCUUCUUUAAUUGAAGCUCGCUGCUCAAUCCACACAAGAUGCGGGUGUCGAGCAACUUGUAAUCAGUGACGACGAGAAUGAUGUGGCUGCUUGUGUUGCUUCAAAUGGGGUUCAUGAUCCUGGAAACUUAAAAUUUGAUUUUGGUGAUGGUGAUGGUGAUGAUUAUGAUUAUGAUGAUCUCAAUGUCACGGGAACCGGAACAUCGGGGGCAUUAAGUGAUUUUGAUGACGGAAUUUCGGCUAUGAUGAAAAUUAAUUUGUGUUGUUGGUUAUUUACUUAUUUAGAUUAAUUACUAAAAGUUAUAAUGCUUAAAAAAUAUUUUCCUUCUAUUAUUUGGAUUUUUAAGCUUUAAAAUAACAUUCGAAGUAUUUUGUUAACCAUGUAUGACACUUAUAUCGAUCUUAUGUAAGCAAAAGUGUGUUUUUGGGUCUUA